ACUGAACAUUGCAUUUCACCAAGUGAAAUGCUACAUUUCUACUCCUAACCCAUUCUCUCUUUCUUAGUGUUUUUGUUAUGCAGGUUGGAAGAAAAGAAGAAGAUCCAGAGAAGAUCUUAGUAAUAAGAUAGUUUUUAGGAAAAUAGAUAUUUAGUUUUAGGUCAUUUCUUGUAAUUUCAGAUAUGGAGUGCUUGUCUAUAGUUUUUGUUUUGACUCUGUGAAACUUGCUACCUAUGGAUGAAACUGUGUAAUAUUGAUGAAACUAUGUAUAUGUAUGGAUGAAACUUGCUACUA